rnacentral:tRNA from 1 species
AAGGGAGACCUAACUCAGGUAUAAGACGAAAAAAAAGUAGUCCCUACCAAGAAUCAAUCCCAAAAGGUCGGAACGAGGUAUGAGGCUUUCAAACUAGGUUCUGGGUUCAUAAAAGACCUGAAUCAGGAACAAGGGCUAUUAGCUCAGGUGGUUAGAGCGCACCCCUGAUAAGGGUGAGGUCCCUGGUUCGAGUCCAGGAUGGCCCACCUGCACAGGUGGCAAAAACAAGAGAAGCGAGGAAUCAGCACCUUAUCUUAUAUACAUAUAUAAGAGAGAAUGCUGGCUCUGAGUACAGAGUCCAGAGGGACCUUGAAAACUGCAUAGAGCUAGGUGAAAAAGCCAAAAAAGAAGACCGCAA